rnacentral:rRNA from 1 species
UACGGGGGGGGGCAAGCGUUGUUCGGAAUUACUGGGCGUAAAGGGCUCGUAGGCGGCCAACUAAGUCAGACGUGAAAUCCCCAGGCUUAACCUGGGAACUGCGUCUGAUACUGGAUGGCUUGAAUUCGGGAGAGGGAUGCAGAAUUCCAGGUGUAGCGGUGAAAUGCGUAGAUAUCUGGAGGAAUACCGGUGGCGAAGGCGGCAUCCUGGACCGAGAUUGACGCUGAUGAGCGAAAGCUAGGGGAGCAAACGGGG